rnacentral:tRNA from 1 species
UCCCUGGAGGUCCAGUGGUUAAGACUCCACGCUCCCAAUGUGGGGUGUACAGGUUCAAACCCUGAUUUGGGAA